GCCGGGCGCGCAGCCCGCGGUCCGGCCGGGUCAGCAGCGCGGCUCCGCCCCGCGCGCACCGAGGUGGCCUCAGGUAGCCUCGUCGCCGGGGCCGGGCGCGGGGAGCCCCAGCCGCUCAACCCUCGGCCCCGCCCGCCGCCCUGCCCGCGCCUGAACUUUGGCCCUGGGGCCGCUGACACCCGAGGGAGUCUGAGAGCGAUGACGUCUCCGCCGGUUUCAGCUGCACAACAGGAAAUGCUCCGGGCCUCCCCCUUCCUGCCCGGAGAAAGUGGGGCUCGCCGCUCCCGGGCCAGCCGAGACCCAGUUUCGGGCCGCGGCCCCGGCACCCGCAGAGCACCCAGGGGAGCAGAGGCUCGGGCCGGGCGUGGGAGGCGCGGGGACCCCGAAACCCGCCGGCUUGCUGAAUAAUGCUGACCUCAGAGGGCCGGGCGAUUUCUCUGCCUCGCACGAUGUUCAGCCUCUGCUCACAGAGCCCUGCUAGGAAACCUGCUUUAACCCCGCGUCUCGCUGCCACCUCCUUACUCUGUUGUGCAAACAUAGCUGUGUGUUUAGUGCACAAUACAACGCCCUGCACUCAAACCUCCAAGACGGAAUUCUUACCAGAAAAGCCUCGAAGUAGUCACGAUUUGAGUCGUUAUUUAGAUCAGGAGUGGAUUUAA
rnacentral:lncRNA from 1 species